rnacentral:rRNA from 1 species
ACGCUGGCGGCGUGCCUAACACAUGCAAGUCGAGCGGAGCCAAUUAGAUGAUCCCUUCGGGGUGAAUUUGAGGAAGCUUAGCGGCGGACGGGUGAGUAACGCGUGAGUGACCUGCCUGUAAGAGGGGGAUAACACAGAGAAAUUUGUGCUAAUACCGCAUAUUGAGUAUUAAUUGCAUGAUUGAUACUUGAAAGAUUUAUCGCUUACAGAUGGACUCGCGUCUGAUUAGCUAGUUGGUGAGGUAAUGGCUCACCAAGUCGACGAUCAGUAGCCGGACUGAGAGGUUGAACGGCCACAUUGGGACUGAGAUACGGCCCAGACUCCUACGGGAGGCAGCAGUGGGGAAUAUUGGGCAAUGGGGGAAACCCUGACCCAGCAACGCCGCGUGAAGGAAGAAGGCCUUCGGGUUGUAAACUUCUUUUAGUAGGGACGAAGAACGUGACGGUACCUACAGAAAAGCAACGGCUAACUACGUG